rnacentral:rRNA from 1 species
GAUGAACGCUGGCGGCAUGCCUUACACAUGCAAGUCGAACGGCAGCGGACCUUCGGGUGCCGGCGAGUGGCGAACGGGUGAGUAAUGCAUCGGAACGUGCCAUUGAGUGGGGGAUAACGUAGCGAAAGUUGCGCUAAUACCGCAUAUUCUGUGAGCAGGAAAGCAGGGGACCGCAAGGCCUUGCGCUCUUUGAGCGGCCGAUGUCAGAUUAGCUAGUUGGUGAGGUAACGGCUUACCAAGGCGACGAUCUGUAGCGGGUCUGAGAGGAUGAUCCGCCACACUGGAACUGAGACACGGUCCAGACUCCUACGGGAGGCAGCAGUGGGGAAUUUUGGACAAUGGGGGCAACCCUGAUCCAGCCAUGCCGCGUGAGUGAAGAAGGCCUCGG